rnacentral:rRNA from 1 species
UACGUAGGAGGCGAGCGUUGUCCGGAGUUACUGGGCGUAAAGGGUGCGCAGGCGGCGGUUCGCGUGGCGAGAUGAAAUCUCCUGGCUUACCUGGGAGGAUGGUCGCCAGACGGGAUCGCUUGAGGGUCGGAGAGGGGCGUGGAAUUCCGGGUGGAGCGGUGAAAUGCGUAGAGAUGUGGAGGAACACCAGUGGCGAAGGCGACUUUCUGGCCUAUAACUGACGCUGAGGCGCGAAAGCGUGGGGAGCAAACAGG